UGGGGAAUAUUGGACAAUGGGGGGAACCCUGAUCCAGCCAUGCCGCGUGUGUGAAGAAGGCCUUAUGGUUGUAAAGCACUUUAAGCGAGGAGGAGGGUACUGGUAUUAAUACUACCAGGUACUGGACGUUACUCGCAGAAUAAGCACCGGCUAACUCUGUGCCAGCAGCCGCGGUAAUACAGAGGGUGCGAGCGUUAAUCGGAUUUACUGGGCGUAAAGCGUGCGUAUGCGGCUAAUUGAGUCGGAUGUGAAAUCCCCGAGCUUAACUUGGGAAUUGCAUUCGAUACUGGUUAGCUAGAGUGUGGGAGAGGAUGGUAGAAUUCCAGGUGUAGCGGUGAAAUGCGUAGAGAUCUGGAGGAAUACCGAUGGCGAAGGCAGCCAUCUGGCCUAACACUGACGCUGAGGUACGAAAGCAUGGGGAGCAAACAGG
rnacentral:rRNA from 1 species